UACAGAGGGUGCAAGCGUUAAUCGGAAUUACUGGGCGUAAAGGGUGCGUAGGCGGAUUGUUAAGUUAGAUGUGAAAGACCAGGGCUUAACCUUGGGGUUGCAUAUAAUACUGGCGGUCUGGAGUAGAAGAGAGGGAAGUGGAAUUUCCGGUGUAGCGGUGAAAUGCGUAGAUAUCGGAAAGAACACCGGUGGCGAAGGCGGCUUCCUGGAUUCAUACUGACGCUGAGGCACGAAAGCAUGGGUAGCAAACAGG
rnacentral:rRNA from 1 species